AUUGUUUCCGUGGUUGUUUACAUAAAGAUUAUACGAAGAAUAUAAGUAUGGAAGAAAUAAGGGAGAUAAGGGAGUUUCUUAUAGAACUCGAAAACAACAAGGAUGUUUACCUUCCAGGUGAUAUUGUUGCUGGAAACCUAGUAUUAGAAUUAUGGUCGCCAAUGCAAGUUAAAGGUAAAGUUGUUGGUUUUUUUGUCAUCAACAACCAAACUAUGUAAUUGAUUAUGUUAUAAAUAUAUAUUUGUAUGUAUAAUCAAGAUAAAAAUAACAAAAAACUCUAAUAUAUAUGUAGGAUCUGGAACCGCGAUGGUACUUCAAACAACGAUGGUCACGCUGAAGUGCGAUGAUCCACACUGAAGUGCGUUGGUUAAACACGCUGAAGUUCGAUUGUGACAUUGUGACGUUUACUUGUUGAUAACUGCGCUGAUGUGCGAUGGUGGUUACGCCGAAGUACCAAAGUACCUGAUAUUCUCACAUUUAAAAGAUCUUUUGAUUUCUGUUGAGUUUAAAAUAGAGUCUUUGAAAUCUUCAUUAAAUUUUGUUUUAAUCUAAUUUUGAAUUUACUAAUUUUUAGAUAAGUAGGAAGUAGUAUAGUCAGAAAAUAUGAUAUUCACGGCUUGUGUGUCUAUAUAAGAGGGGCGAAAUAUACCAGUGGCACAAUCAAACUCAUAGAUCGAAAAUAAACUGAUAAAGCCAUGGCUAAAAAAGAAAAAAAGACAUAUCAUAGUACACAGGAAACAACAUAGAACACUAAAGACUAAGCAACACGAACCCCACCAAAAACUGGGGGUGAUCUCAGGUGAUAAUAUACAUUUAUUUCCCGUACCUGAGGGAGAUAUGAAGAAUUGUUCACCCAAGAAUAUUCAUAUUUCAUGAGGGCUCUUCCCGAGGGAAAUAUGAUAUUUCAAGGGUGAAACAUUCUUCAAAUCUCCCUUGGCCUAGGGAAAUGAAUGGUUUUUUUUCAACUGCAUUAGCUUCGUAUACUAUCACAACUUCAAAUAUUAGUUUGCAUACCGGCAUUGUUUCUUAUCCGCUUGUUUUUAUUACUAAGCACGACAUACAUAUUGAAAAACAGUACGGAUAAACAUUUUAAAAUUAUAAGUCUUUUUGUUUCAACGUCUGAAAUAAAUUUGAACACGACAUUGAUAUUUGCUAAAGCUAUUCAGAAAAUAAAAAAAGUUUAAGACGUUAUGUACACGAUUUAGUCCCGACGUUUCAGAGGGGAAUAUGAUACUCAGAUGUUAAUAUACAGUUUUGUUCGACGUCACGUGUGAAAGUUUUAACCAAUCAAAUAUUGCUUUCGCUAUCAAAAUUAACAUGCAGUGGAAUAAUAUAACUGUCACGUUCACCACCAAAAACAAAAAUAAACUGAUUCGUCGCUGAUGAUAAUAAAAUAAAUAAGGAAGUACAAGAAGGGACCAGUCAGAUUAAUUUUGGCCUAACAUAUUGUAGAAAUUGAAUUAAACAUUGUCAUCACAAUAAAAUAAGGCUACCGGGGCGGUGUUCUUACAAUCAGCUUGAUAUAGCAAUAGCAUUGCUAAUGCUUGUUAGUAAUUUCAUUAUUAAAUUGUCCACACAAAAUCGUUUAAAGCAUAUUUCAAGAAAAAUUAACACCAAUAUUGAGAUCAAGCCAUUUAAUUGUCGUACAAAACGUUUGCGGCAUUCUUUAGAACACUGGUUAGCUUAUCUGCAAACCAAAUUCAUCUUUUUGCCGCUUUGACAUACUUUUUAGUUUUAAAUAUUUUGCAAAUCUAUCAUUUUUUUUUGUAACGUUGUAUAUGAACACGUCACAAUAUCCAAAUAUCAUACCAAACCAUCGCACAUCAGUAAAAGGACCAUCGUAUUUCGGCGUGGACCAUCGUACCAAUCUUACCUCUGCGUUUAUCAAUUUCGUGAAGUUCUGGCAAGAUUAUAAACAUAAGAGCUGAUAAGACAAUUUUAAGUAUAACUAAUGUUCCCAUAGAGGCAUAACUCAUUUAUAACUUUUUGAUCAGCACUGAUUUUAAAACAAGUAAAAGACAUUGCUACUAUAGAACUCUGGAAAGAAUUGUACACAUGAAGGCGAAAAUAUUACUACUUUCAAUAUAUUCAGUAUUUCUUUCCAAAGGGGACUUCCCUUUUAUAAAUGAUUGACCGGCAUUGAUUUCCAAAUUUAUCCAAGAUAUUACUGAUAUAAACAUUUGAUAUUAGUUUCAUAAAAAAGAAAAUGGUAAUAAUUAUACACAUAAAAGCGCUGACGAUGCGAUUUUUAAUAAUAUUAAUGUUCAAAAGGGGCAUUACUCUUUCGAAAAUAUUUCAUCGGCACCUGUUUUUAAAGUCGUCAAAAACAUUGCUGAUAUAAACCAAUGCUAUAAUUUCCAUAAAAGUCUGUCAAGAACUGUUCAUACAGGAGCACUUACAAAACAGAAAGGACGGACGGACGGACGCACAGACGGCCGUACAGAGGGACGCCUAAUAUUUCUAUAUCCUCCCCAACGCGUUACACGGUGGACAGUAAACAGUCGUUUGUCCUAUCCAGUGAAGUCCAAUCCAAUCCAGUCCAGUGUAGUUCAGUCCAGUCCAAGUUAUACACUUUGCCAUCACAGGCUUGCUCUUUUUGAUAGGAUGAAGGAAUGACAAAAACAAACACAUGUCUGACUUUAAAUCUGUCCUUUAUUAUCAAAAGGAAGGAGAAGCAACAGAAUGAUUAAUAUGUAUAAUUGGAUAAAUAAAUCAUAUUAAGAAAAAACAUACAUGUUUAAAAUGACAAACCUUUAUUGACCCAUCCCACUUAAGGUUGCGUUACAUUCGAAUUUACCACUGCCAACGUCUUGUAUAACAAAUUAAAGAUUAAAAGUGCCUGACUUAAAAUAUAUCAAUUUUAAAAUGAUUUUUAAAACACUUAUUAAAGAUAAUGUAUCAGUUAUCCAUGGAGGGAUGGGAUAUGAUUUCAGUUCCCAAAUUUUCCUGCCUAUUUCAAUCUGCAACUGAAGCGCAUUAUGAAAUUAGAUAACAACAGGGAAGGAAUAAACUCUGUAUUAAACAUUUAUUCAACAAAAAGUCAAAGUGCUAUGCCGCUUUUUAUAACACCAUUAAGAAUGACAGAAAACUAGAAUAUUCCACUUAGUGUUGUGGAUAAAAUAUGAUGCUAAUCCUUCAAAUAGUUGAAAAAAAUUAAUAUUUUUUGAAGGUUUUUCUUGACGUAUAAGUUGUAUACCUAUAUAUCUAUCAGUUCAUAAGAAAUUCAAGAGCUUGCAUUUCCUAUCAUAAUUGUAUAGAUAAAGGGUUUUGUCUUACAAGGAAGCAAUUGAGUCGAGAGUUCUAAGAGGUUAAUUUGAAAUCAGUUCAUCGGACAUUUUACGGACGCCAUCAGAAUUGGUUGAGCUUUAUGGAAUAUCUGACGACGGUUAUGUCCAAUUGUCGUAACCACAAUCCCGUCAUCUAUUGCUCGGAAUAUGUAAAAACAAGAUUUACCACCAAGUUGCCACAUGUAGAGCAGGAUAUGCGAUAUAUGAUAAUUAAGUAUACUUAACCCUCACGGGAGGGAUAGUGCUUAAUUUUCAUAUGUUGAAGACAAUCUUUCGAUCAAUUUAAAUGAGGUCAUGAGCUGGCAUGUCAGUAACUGCUGGAACUCCUUUUGUUAAUUAUGUUGAUCAUCGUUAUUUUUCUAAUCUUGUUUCCUACUCUAAUAUCGGACUUCUUUUAAACUGGGUACUGUACGUAUUGCUGUGCAUUUGGUUAUUACACGUUGGCUAUAUGUAUAGACGGAGGGUUGAUAUCUCAUAAAAUAUGCUGAACCUAGCUGUUUUUAUAGCCAGGAACCUCUUGGAUUUGUAAGUCUUAGUUUGCGUUAUUGUUAAGGUAGCAAUACACAGUAAGGAUUGAAGUUUGGAGUUUAAAUUCACUGGUAUUAAAGAGAUAAUCGUAAAUGGAAUUACGAUUAUCCCAAUAUGGCGACGGCAGAUAUAGGUAGAAUCUUUACAGUCAUUUUUCUCAAAUAUAGCAUGUUUUUGUCAAUAGUUACUCAGCUGCAAGGGUUUUCUAUACCAUUACAUCAUAUUUGAAUCGUAACGGUGCACUGGAAUUGUCUAAUCGCUUUGAAAAUUGCCGUUGAAAACUUCGGGAUGAUAAUCGUAACUCGGAAAAAAGAUAAUCGUAAUUAUGGUAUUAAAAACUGAAAUGGUAAAAUUUAAAGAUUUCAGUAAUUUAUCAUGACUUAAUGAUGCCAGUUUCCGAUAUAUAUGCAGUGUAUUGUCAAAAACAGCCCAUAAUUAUGUAGCAGAAGCAUUGUACUUUCAAUAAAUAACUAAAAGUUUACAUUUUAACAAUUUUGCAAAUCUACUAUAUUUUGGGGCCAAAAAGGGGUCUCACCGGACCUACUCCUUUUAUUUUGCUGUAGAAACAAGCGUCACAUUAUUUUCUUCACAUUUAACAUUAAAUAAAUAAAAAAAUAUUUUUAUCACAAAAUCUGUUUUCCUAGAUUUAUUUCGCAUUAAUUUUAAAAACAGUGUAUAGCAACUUUACCUGACCAUAUCGGAAAAUAGGUAUUUAGUCGGAUCUUAACACGUACUUAUGAUUUGGUUAAAACCGGUUUUGAUCAAAAUAUACGAAGAAAUGUCGAAAUGUUCAGGACUUAAUUAAAUCCGUUUUUCGGUAGGAUGGUGCAAGCAUACGAUUUUUAUUGCGUCUUACACUUUGAGAAGCGAAUAAUCUUCAACUACUUUAUUCAAAUAUUGUGUAAAAACGUUAAUUUUGAUGAAAGUCAAGUGGCUCGAGCAUUUUCUGAGGAAGUUUUAAAAAUUGCAAAGAAUAUUUUUACAGUGGGUAGCUUCAUUAGUCUUAACUGUCUAUAGAUUAACAACUUUUGGUUAUAUUUAUAAUUUAGAAUCAUCAUUGAAGGUGGGGAUGAUUGCACAGAUAAUUAAUUAUAUUGAUGUGCCAUUUGUAUGCAAGAGUGACAUUCCGUUGUAUUAUGUGCCAAUUCGAAAAAGUUAUGAGAGUAUUCUCUCCCCUUAACAGGUUCAUUAUUUUAUAAUUAAGUUUAGGUUUCUGAUAUAAUUUUGAAUAAUUACAAAAGUAUCAAUUCAAUAUAAUUUCAGAUUUGUUAUGGUGUAUCAAAAACAUUGAUGUACGAAUAUAAUUUCAUAAAUUUGAAACGUUUAAAAUGAUUACAUACCAAUAUAAAGAACCGUUCAUCAUUUUUAAAAAAGACUAUGAACGCAAUUCGAAAUUAUUUAUCUUCACUUGGUGAGAGAUUGAUUGGGAAAUGAACCAGCGUAAUCUAAUGGUAAUCACAGAGAGGGACCAGCAAGCAAAUUUUAAAUGUAGCUUAUUCAACGUUAAAAAAAUUUCUACUAUAAACGAAUGUUACUUUAUACAAAUAUAAGGACUUUGUUAGGGGUGAUCUCAGGUGCUCCGGAAGGGUAAGCAGAUUUUGCUCCACAUGUGGCGCCCAUCGUGUUGCUUAUGAAUUAACAAAUCCGGUAAAUAGUCUAAUUCGGUAGGUCACAUUUAUGAAAGGGAAAAGGAUUGUAGUUACGACGUAAGGAACAUAUCCGAUAUCAUUUGUGAAACGGUAAUUCCAUAAAUCAAUCCAACUCGUGAUGGCGUCCGUAAAAUUAACGAAGAGAUGAUUUCACUUCAACAUUUGGAACUCUUGAUUUAAUAGCUUCCUUGUUAGCAACAACCCUCUAUCAAGAAAAUCUUGAUAGGAAAUGCAAGAACGGGAAUAUCGUAUCAAUUGGGAGAUAUAUACACCGUAUGCAGGUGCUACUGGAAAGUUGCUACUUAGAAAUGGACAGUUCACAAAAAAAAAGAGCUGAAAUCAUCUCUUUUGUCGUAAAGUUUUGUUUCCAAUCGACCCUCAUUGUCAAUUUGUAGAUGUAAGUCAAGAUAUGAGGCCGACUUAACUGUAUUUGUUGUAUCCUUUAUCUCUAGUUCAAUGGGAUAGAUGCGUUCGACGUAGUCACCAUAUUUUGAAUUAUUUAGUGAAAGAACAUCAUCUAUAUAGCGGAAAGUAGAGUUAAAGGAUAUUGCUAACUCUAAUCUUUCUUCCUAAGAAGUUUCUGUAUGAAGUCAGCCUCAUAAUAAUAACGAAACAAGUCGGCAAGAAGAGGGGCACAAUUCGUUCUCAUUGAAAUGCCGACAGUCUGUUGAAAAACACGUUGUCUGAACGCUACAAAUAUGUUAUCAAUCAAGAAAUCAAGCAUCUUGAUAAUGUCAGUUUCAGAGAAUUUUGUGUUUGAAUCAGAGUGAUCCUUUAAAGUAGGAUUUAUCCCUUAUCUCUUCGUUGGCCAUUCUUUUUUAUGAAACAAAGCAAUAUAAACUCUUUCAAUUUGUCUUUUAGUUUGGAAUGUGGAAUACUUGUAUAAUGUGUAGAAAAGUCAAAUGGUUUAAUACUAUUACAAGAUGAAAGAGAGUUAGAUUGUACGUACUCUAAAAGAUCUUUGGAAUUUUUAAGUAUCCACAUCUGAUUUAUAAAUUAAGAAAGAGAUUUUGUUGAGCACUUGGAAGACCCAGCAAUAUGCCCUUGUUUGUAAGGACACUUAUGCAGUUUAGAUAUCCAAUACAGUGAUGAAAGAUCCAGUUCAUCAUCUUUGGUUGAAAUUCCAAAGGAACAUAGAACAGAACUAUGAUUAUCCAGGAUUUUCUCUUUGGUAAGUGUCGUGAGGGUAUAUGUUGGGUUUCCAAGUGAAUUGUCAAUACCUAAUUCGUUUAUCAAGCAGUUAAGGUUCAUCAUAACAAAUGGACAAAUAUGGCCGUAUUUUCACCUCAAAACUUACUCUGUGUACAGAUUUACCUGUGCUGUUUCGAAAGUUUUAAUGCCUAGCAUCCACUAGAUAUAUAAAAGUAAUCUGGAUUUUGGGUUUAAGAAAGAUAAAAUCUUUCUUGGUUUUUGAUGGACAUUUUUUUUUCCUUUCUGCAGAAUGUGUAAAAAUAAACAAACACCUGAAUUACUUUGAUACUGUCCACUCACUGACUCAGAUAAACUCUUUAACUCACCUAAAGUUGUCACGACACCUGUUGUCCAUGUCAAUUAAGGACAAUCAAAACAAUACAAACCGGUUUUUUACCUGAGGGAGCAUCUCAUAGUUGUAUCACAACUAAGUUAAUUUUCACACCUUUUGCAUGAAGGAAAAACAGUGCCCAUCAAAAUCUAAAAGGGAUUUUAUCUUUCUGAAACACAAAAUGCGUUUAAAUUUAUUAUAUCUGGAGGAUGCCAGGCAUUAAAACUUUUCCAGCUUCGCAGGUAAGUCUGUACUCAGAGUAAUUUUUGGCAUGUAAAUACAGCCACAUUUGUCCGUUUGUUAUGAUGAACCUGAAAGUAAUGAGUUUUACACACAAAAACGAUGUUUUUUGGGGCUUUAUCUUUAAAUAUAACAUAGGGAAAUAUAUUAAAACAGUUCAUCGCUGAUGUAAAGACAUAAUUUGUAAAAAAAAAAAAAAAAAAAAAAAAAAGACUCUAAAUUGUUACUUUGAAAAUGUAAUAAGUGCUCCCUUUGCGUUCGUUCGUACCUUUCGUCAAAUUGUAAGGAAGCUCUAGAGUGACGAGUUCCAGCUUGGAUAUGACUAAUAACUGUAUCCGUAUAUCUUUAAUCUAAAUAACAAUAUAGUGCUUUAAUUCAAAUUCGAUUGCAUUAACUAAUUUGAAUUAGAUAAAUUUCGCAUUCGAAAUAUUUGACGUCCGAACGUAAAUGCUCACACAAAUUGCAUUGCACGUCAAAUUUGCUUCUUUCUUGGAACGGCGUAAACUUUUUGUUGGCAUUAUCUAUUUCUACAAUAAUCCAAAUUUCCUUAUUGGGUAUUGCAAUGUCAAUGAAAGAAUUAAGUUCCUGCGGAAAUGGCAUGUGUUAAACGGGAUAGACCAAAAAGAAUUUUAGGUUGAUGUUGUCAUUCACAUUCUAAUCAAUUUAAACAGUUAAAGGGGCACUAGCUGUCAAAUUCAUGGUCACCGAUUUGACUCAAAUUCUCAUAUUUGAUUUAUAACAAUAUAAAACAAUGUCUAAAAUAAACAGUUUACAGAGAAUGGGGUAGAUAAUAUAUAGGUUCAUUUCGUGUGUAUUUUAGGCCAGACGCCAUCCAAUUAACUAUCGAUUUGACCUCAGAUGACCAUAUAAGCGAUAUGAAUAGAUUAAACCAACACGUGCAAUUGUAUUUUUAUAGGUCUGUUUGAAUUUAUUUAUAGAUUAAAAAUAGAUGUUUCUCAUUGCUUUUAGCCGUGUAAGAAUGAUUUUAUGUGCAUCGAAUUAGUAAGCAAAUGAUUUGCCGUAGUUUCACUUUCAUUGUUGACAUUCUUAUUCUUUAAAUAACCAGUACACGUACAAUGCAUGCGUUGUCAAUCUCUAACUAGGGGUUAAAUUGAAGUUCACAUGAAUACGGAUUUAAAGAGGUCGACUCAUUCACUUGCAAGUGAAUAACUAAUUAUCUAUGUUUCUUAGCGUAAUUUGACAAAAUUGAACCUUUUUGGCUGCAAAAAGCGAAUUGUUAUUUCACUAUUUCACUUUCAUUAUUGAUUGAACAAAAAAAAAAUCAAACUUUAGAUUUUUUAUAUAUCUCGUAGCUAGUGCCCCUUUAAAUAAAUUAUUAAUGUUAACUAUAUUAAGAUUGGUUUUGAAUUUGUUCCUUUUUCAGACCACGCUAAUUGAUAUACAUAAACUCGACACUGAAUCAAAAUAAAACCUAUCCAUUGUGGCAUCAUAUAAUUUAUUGUGACGUCAAAAUUUUAUGGGAACGUGUGUGUAUAGGAAAACAUAAUCUAAAACCUCAUUCAUUUAAGAUGCAAGUACAUGAAAGCUGAAUCAGAAUGGUUAAACCCUUGUUUUCAAUAUGAAAAUAAUAAUUAGAAUGUCAAAAUGUCAAAAUCACUAUUGGACUAUGAGUAUAAGUUUAGAGCAAAAUUCGAGGGAAAACGGGAGGAGAGGUUGACGUAGUGUUCAAGAAAAGCAAAUGCUCUUUAAAUUAUUGGGGUAUAAAAAAAUUGAGGAAAAAUUAUAACAGGGAGAGUUGAGUAUGGAAUGCCACAGCUGUCUUAUGUGGAACUCUGAUAUUACUUUAUGUUGUUUUGUCUUUACUUAAUAUGGUUUUGACACACCACAUCUAACUUUAUUUCAAUUCAUAUGUUGCGUUUUGUAUACUGCAACAUUGUUAAUUUAGUACGCAUAUCCCAGAGCCCUCUUAUCGGAAGCCCGAAUAAAAGCCCUUGUUUCGCGAUAGAAAAUUUAAUUAAGAACUCAAAAAGACAUAUAAAAUAGCUCGAAUUUCAACUCAAAAUCUUAAUUAAUCUAAAUGAGACUUAAAUUCGAAUCUUACUCAAACUCUACCUCAAGAAGUGACUCAAAUUCAAAGUUGUAACUAGAACUCUGCCUUUAAAUGUGACUCAAACUCGAAGUCCAACUCGAAACGCAAUGCUAACUAGAACUGUAAUUCUAAGCAUGACUUGAAUUCGAAAACUUACUCAAAGUUUAAUUCAAACAGUAACCCGAACUUUAAUUUGAACACUUAUUAGAUUAUUCUAGGCAUAUACAACAUGGAAAUCUAUCUAAAAAUAGAACAGGUUUUACCUCAGCAAGUAAUUGGAUAACCACAUUAAAGAAUGACAGGACCACAUCCAAGAAUACAUCCAAGAUGGCAAGACCACAUCAAAUAAUGAAACAAACACAUCAAGUAGCGUAAAAUCGUCAAAUUUUGAAACAUCAUAACGUAAUGUUAAAACCAUUUAAAGAAUAGACAAAUCAUCAUUACGAAAUAACAAAACCACAUCAUGUAAUGAAACAACUACAUUACGUUGAGUCACAUACACAUCAAGUAAUGUUAAAACCACAUUGACUUAUGACACAACCAUAUUAAAUAAUGGUGAAACCACAUCGAGUAAUGACAAAAUCAUAUUGAUAAUGAAAAACUAUAUCAAGUAAAACGAACCAUAUGUGUAAUAUCGAAUAUCAUAAAGUAAUGACUAUUCCAUAUUGAGUUAUAUUAAACUUAUUACGUAAUGUCAAAACCAUAUUAAGAAAAGACAAAAUAUCUUAGUAAUAAUAACAACAUAAAGUAAUAUCAGAGUUCCACAUAAGACAGCUGUGGCGUUCCAUAGUUGAGUCAUCUUUUCACUUUCAGACUUAAGUUAAAUGAUGACCAAUGUUAUGUCUAAAUAACUAUGACAAGUCUCACAGUGUGGGAACGGAACUGUACGGUUUUCUACUAAUUUGGUCAUUCGGAGACUGUCAGGGUGCUUCGACAUUUGCAAAAUAAAUUGCUUGACGGAAACUUUGAUGACUAUAUGUUGCUAUAUAACGUUUCUGCUUCAAGUUUUGAUAGCUAAAACAUUCUGAACAAUAAAAUAAUAAGAAAGAUUAUGCAUCAACGUUUUCCUUAGAAGGUGGAGCUCCGUGUAAAAUGAUCAAAUUGUCAACAACAGGAUCAAAUGUAAAUAAACAUCAAAAUCAAUGUGUGCUACUGAUUUCACUGUACUUUCUGAAUAUAGUCUUACCUAUCUGAAAGUUUAAAGCUAUUGUUCCAGUAGAAAAUCUAAAAUAUUCAUUUUCUCCAUGUCGAUAUUUUUAUUGACUGUACAAUCCUUCAAGUUUACUGUUAUAUCACUCAGAGCUUCCUGUACAAUCGCUUGAGCUUUUCUUUUCAUCGUUUGCCAACUAACUACUCCGAAAGGAGGAACCUACUUACCUGUUAGACUUCACGUUCCAGCUAGCAUAGCUAGUCAAAGGUAUUUUUUUUACACACUCAUUGCAUUUGCUGCAAUAGUUCUAGUGGCAUAGACUAAUUAUAACUCUUAAGUAGAUAACGCUUACUACCAUCUCUUCUGCCACAUUCAUGAUCAGUUUAUGUUUCCAUGAUACUUUGUCAUAUAAAUAUUUAUUAAAACUACUGCAAUCCAAUACAAUAUAUGUCUGGCAUGAUUUUUCUCUCCCUUUUCUGUUACGAUUUAACAGUUACUUAUUUACUUUAUAUUUGGUAUUGUUAUUAUUUUUAAAACCUAAUUACACACUUAAAAGUUAAUGGUGUUAAAGCUUUUAUUUGAAUGGAUGCAGCCUGAAUUAGCGGAUCCGGUAUGCGGGGAGAGAGAGUUUUGGUGUUGAAACCCCAUUUUUUUCGAUUUUUUUAUUUUGUGACGUUCAGUGUGUUCCGUGGUUUUGUGCCCUUUUGAAAAGGCGGGAUCGCACUGGUCUGAUAUCGUCAAUAUAGUAUGCUGAUCCUCAUUCAUCUGAUUUUUUAUAGUUUGAUCUUGUGCUGUGCUGUUUUUGGGGAGAAAUGAGCGCACACAGACAUUUCUAACCCUGUCAAAUUCUUUAUGUACCUGUUUCAAGUCAAGAGCUCGGUAGUUCAUGUGUUAUCGUUUGGUUCAUGUCUGUCAUAUAUAUUUUUGUAAAUUGUUUUAUUAUGAAUAGCCGUCAGUUAAAUCGAAAAGGUAUCGAUUCUUAUUUUCAUGUCGGACCUUUAUAGCCAACUAUAAUAUUGCUUAAAUCAAUUUAUUUUUUUAUUUGACAACAUAUCACAUCUCCUAUUUUUAUAUUGAAGAUAUAAAUGUGGUUUGAUAAAAAUGUUGUUCUUACUAAAAAAAAAACAACUGUUUCGUUCUUUUGUCGGAUGCUAUAGUGGGGAAUAUUGAAAAGUUGCUGAAUCGUGACAUUGAUAUAAAAAAAAUCAUGUUGAAGGAUUUUGUGUUUUCUCUGUCUUUCAGAUAACAAGUCUUCUCCCAUCCUUGAUAAAAUUUAAUUUUACUGGAGCUUUUUCAACCAGUAGCUAUAGCUUGUAAUAAACAGACAUCUCACUUGAAAUUAUACCACAUCUUCUUAUUUUAAUAUCAUGUUUAUUGACAUAUACGUGUUUUUUCUUGGAUCAGUGGUUAGCUACCACCAUUCCACAUUCCAAUUCUUGUUAUAGUUACCAAAUUAAAAAGUGUUGGGUAUGUGUGGAUACACCAUAGGAGGAGCUAAAUUUCACGAGAAAGCUUUGCUUUCGAGUGAAAUUUAGUUCAUCCUAUGGUCAAUCUAAUUAAAAACUGAUCUCUCAUCGCUCCCGUUUUCUGAUAUUUCGCGUGGGAGCCCACGCGACAUAUCAGAAACAGGAGAGAUGAAAGAUCGGUUUUUAAUUAAAUUGUCCUAUAGUGUAUCUACACAUAGCCAAUCACUUUUUUAUUUGGUAAAUUACAUGUGUCAAAGUUAACAACUGAUAUCACAGGAAAGAAAAUGUGUUACAUUGUAGUUUCUGGCUAAAAGUGCGAGGUAUCUAACAUACACCACAUGACCAUUUUCAAUCUUCUGGUAAACCAAUCAGAGGGUCGAUAUGGAACUUGGUGUAUGUGUUCGAUACCCUCACACUUUUUCAAUGGAAAAUCAGACAAACUAUGGUACAAAUCAAGUUACAAUAUCCCGAUCCUGUGAUGAAAAAUAUUUUGUUGUAUUGUUCAAAUAUGUAUUUAUUAUUAUUUUUUAAAUUGCUGGUAAAUAAUAUAUUAAGUAAAAUUCAAAAUAUGCUAAUUACCCUUCCAGAGAAUCUAGUCACCUUUUCGGUAUAUAUAAAUAUUUAUUUUGUAACAGGAUUAUUUUCAGUUUUAUUUUAGAUUAGAUUCUUAACAUAUUUUGUACUGUCCUUUUCUUUUUGUCUUGUAUAUUUAUCCAGUGGUUUUGUGUUUAUGUGUUACAUAUUUGUUUUUCGUUCAAUUUUUGUACAUAAAUAAGCCGUUAGUUUUCUCGUUUUACAUUGUUAUUUCGGGCAUUUUAUAGCUGACUAUGCGGUAUGGGCUUUGUUCAUUGUUGACGACCGUACGGUGACCUAUAGUUUGUACUUUCUGUGUCAUUUUGGUCUAUUGUGGAGAGUUGUCUCUUUGGCAAUCAUACCACACCUUUAUUUUUAUAUCUAUUGUACACAUUUUGUUUUUGUCUUUGAUAUAGUCACCUUGAAAGGGUUCCUUGCUUGAUAGAAUCUUAAUUGUCAAAAUGACCGGUUUUAUGCUUAUUUUCACUUCAAAUACCAUAGAUGAAUUUAAUAGGACAGCAAGAAACAACCAAUGCAAUGCAUAUACAAUGUAUUUUAUAAAUUUGGCUAAGCAAUUCUACAGGAAAGCUCCAAGCGAUUGUACAUGAAGACUCCAAGUGAUAUUACAGUAAACUUGCAAGCGAUUGUACAGUCAAUAAAAAUAUCCGACAUGGAGAAAAUGAAUAUAUUUAGAUUUCUACUGGGACAAUGGCUUUGAAACUUUCAGACAGGUAAGACUAUAUAUCAGAAUAGGUACAUGUAAAAAAUCAGGUAGCAAACAUUGAAUUUUCGAUGUUUAUUUGACAUUUUUGAUCGCUGUUGUGUGACAAUUUUGAUCGUUUUACACGGAGCUCCACCAUUCUAAGGAAAACGUUUGGAUGCAUAUAUCUUUCUUAUUAUUUUAUUGGUUCAUAUUUAGAUAGAGAAUGUUUUAGCUAUCAAAACUUGAAGCAGAAACGUUAUAUAGAAACAUAAGAGUUCGUCAAAGUUUCAUCAAGCAACUUGUUAUUUUGCAAAUGUCGGAGCACCGCUUGACAGUCUCCCGAAUGACCAAAUUAUUAGAAAACCGUACAGUUCCGUUCCCACACUGUGAGUCUGAUCUGCAAACCAACAAACAGACACAAAAAUAUAAAAUUGUAAAAUAUGUAAGAUUGAUUGCACUUUGUAUGGCUAACUGAAUUAUUAAAACACGUGUGUUUGUUUACAAAUAAUAAUGUCACGUGAUUGUGCACCGAGGUCACAAAUUUGCAUUGCUCUUAUUUAAAUACACUACACAAUUCACCCAUAACUAACCCAUUUAUCAUGAAUGUUAUUGGUUAUCAAACGAUACAAAACAUUGCAUGAACAGUAAAUGCAGCAAUUAGAUCAAAUAGAUAAGAUCUUCACUCAUGACACAAGUCGACUGGGUUGACUUUAGUAUUGAUAAAUGGUAAUAAAUUGACCGCCAAGAAGGCCAGAGAACCACCUCUGGGGAACCUUAACAUUAAUAAGUAAUACUCACCAAAAUUACUCUAUAGUAUAAGACGUUAUUUCAAUGAAAUGUCAGAAAGAUUACGAUAAAAUACUGAUGCAGGCGGGGAUGCAGGUUAUUUUCUUGUUUUGGCGCGAAAUAUUCUUACUCUUGUUAAAAAAAAGAAAAUAUGCAGAAGCAUGACAAUAAAUUGUAGGCCGGUAAUAUUAAUGAUAAAACAUGUUUAUUUAAGAAUUGAAUGCUUCUUUUUGUAAAUUUAUUGGGGUGUAAAAGCGUUGACCGAAGUACAUUUUGUAUGAAGCGCGGAAGCGCUUCAUUCUAAAAAUGUACGCACGGUCAACGCUUUUACAACCCUAUAAAGUUACAAAAAGAAGCAUUCAAUACUUAUAAUUAUAUUUUUUAGCUAUGAUCAUGAAAACAUGAAUUUUGUAUAUUUUAUUAUUUAAUUCACCUGUGCACUUUAUUGUUGGAGCACGUGUUAUCAUGAGUGAAAAGUUGUAUUGAGCAAUGCAACUGCUUACGGAAUAACAAGUGAUGUGCAGUUAGCCAAUCAGAAUAAAAUAUUAUAAUGAAACAUACAUCUAAUGUAAUUAUAUAUUUUUAAAAGAAGUUGCCAGUAUACCUCACUAAGAACAUAUUCGGAAGUGGAGAGAGAAACACUAUUUUUAAAGCAUGUUUUUUUCUAUAAAUUCCCUGAUGGAAAUUUAAUGAUGAAGAAUAAAUACUUCAUCGAGCUUAGUCGAUUCUCAAAUUGAGGGUUGUAACUGCAUUGGAAACAUUUGAGUUUACCUGGAUGAAAAAGUUUGAAGUCUGACCUAUUUGGUCAAAUGAAUAUAUCUAUUGUUACUAUUGUAGGUAAAAAUGAUUAAGGCCAGCGAAUCCAAGCUGGCCUUAAAGUCAUAAGAAACGAGUGACCGGUGAAAAAUAAUGGUCCUCCAAUUCUUGAACCAACGCAUACAAACAUCAUAAACUUAGUCUUCUGUGCACGAAUUUAUCAUUUUUUUCGUGUAAAUUUCGUAUAAUCGUCAUUUUUUUUCAAUCGGUCAGUGUUGUUGUCAAAAUAUGACAAGUAAUUAAAUUUCGUGUUUUGAAGCCGAAGUUUAACGAUUGUCACCUGUUUGUCAACAAUCGACAAAAAAUCAACAAAAAAGCAUGGAAAUUGAGCACGUGUUUAACAUGUAAAUUCAGAUAAUAGUCUAUUUUAAGGACAUCCAUGCGUAUGAUCACCGGAUUUUUACGAGAUGGGUCACACUGAGGAAAAUAUGUCGGGGGAAUUGCUUCCUUUCCAGGAAGCAAUUAAAAUAAAGUAAACUUCUUCUAAAUAUGAAUAAAUUAAAGAAUUUUCUUCAGAAACAAAUAUAUGUACAUAAGUUUUAUAAUGAAAACUAUCCAUUGAGUUAUAAAAAAACAUAUGCAUUAUUUUUUUUGAUUUGAGGUUUCUUAUGACUUUAAGUUGAUUAAUGUAUUGAUAACAAAUAUCUAACGUUGAAAAUGAAAAUCAGCUAAAUCGGAAAUAUUAAUACAAAUAUGUACUGAGUAUGUCUGUAACAAUAUUUCAUUUACUGAAUCAAUAUUAUGAUAAUUAUUUUCCAAAUAUUAAAAUUAGUUGGUACAUAGAAUUGACAAUAAUCAAUAUUUUGAAAUAAGUUAUAUUAUUUUCAUAUAAUUUUCAGAGCUAAAGCUUACAUUUAGCGGUGAGGCAAAGAUACACUAUUGGAAUACAACUGAGCCUUUUCGAUGCGGAUAUGAACGUUACUUUGAACAAUCUGUUGUGAUUCUGGAAUGUGGUAAAUAUUGA
rnacentral:lncRNA from 1 species